rnacentral:lncRNA from 1 species
ACCCAAUAGUCCUUAAAAUUGGCCCAACCCUCAGGGAAGCCAGAACUAAAUUAUAACUACUAACAAUUAUACAACUAAUUUAACGGUCCAAACAGUCCUAGAAUCGUUUACAUUCAGAAAAAAGAGAAAAAAAACUUAACUAAAUCAGGAAAUUCAAGUAAAAUGUAAAAACAAGAGACAACAAAUUGAUAGCAAAAUUGCAGCUGACUUCAUUUUCAAUUAUCAACAGGACUUUGUACAUUUGCUUCAGGCUCAGUAAAUGUACCUGGAAAGUAUAAAUAGGAAAUGAAGGUGAGAUCAGCAACAAUAGAGGACAAAGCAACAAGUCACAGUCAUAGUAAAGCCAUCUAAACCCAGCGGAAUAUCAACACACGAUACAAUCAAUGGAACAAAUACCUCAAUUGUGCCGACAAAACCUCAGGACUCAAUCUAAUGGUAAUUCCUAAUCUUCUAUUUGAACAUGAAACUCUUGGAAAUAAACCAAUGGAAUAGUAAUAAUUUGAUAAGCUGUAUGUGUAUAUUUUC